UCUUAGAUGACUGAGGGUAAGUGCUAGAUUUUUAAUCUAGAGACGGCAAAUGAUUUCAAUGCCUCUAAGAG
rnacentral:tRNA from 1 species